UCUUUGGGGGAGCAGAGAGAGGAAUCAAACAUGCACACAGGUAGGUCUGGCGGUGGGGGGAUGGACAGGUCCAUGGUGCUGAGCCAUGGUGCUGAAUGGGGCACCUGGCUUCGUCUGGCAGGGUCUCUGAGUGACAUCUGGCUGAGCUUGACAGAUGAGCAAGAGGUGUAGAGGUCACAAGGGACGCUGCGGGGAAGAGCCAGAGAGGAAGGAACAAGGCCAGCUGGUGGCGUGGUGUGGAGGACACUGCUGAUGGGCAGGGGCGGGACGGAGCUGGACGCCGCUGUGUGUCCUGGCCACAUCCAGCCUGGGCCUUUGCCUGGAGAGGGAUGGACGGUCUUUGAACGACCUGAAGCAGGGGAGGGGCAUGAUCAGAUCUGCACGUUUUGACAGAUCACUCUGUGGAGAAGGGACCACACGGAAGCAAGAGAGGCCACCAGGAGAACAGUUAGAGGACACCACACAGGAAUGCCUGGGUGGCUGAGUCAGUUAAGCAACCAAAUCUUGGUUUGGGCUCAGGUCAUGACCUCGAGGUUUGUGAGUUCGAGCCCCAAGUCAGGCUCUGUGCUGUCAGCACAGUCUCCCACCCUCCACCCCCCUUCCCCAAGCAGUGUGUAGACACACAAACGAUCGGGGGCCGAGCGAGUGCUCUUGUCAAUGAAUUCUCCCAGCAAAAUUAUCACCACAGGCUUGCUGACAUGUUGUUCUUCACAAGCUGACACUCUCCAUCCCUUUGAAAGACAGAUUGUUUUCCUAGAUGGGAUUGUUCACCAGCUGCUCGUGGUGAGCACAGCCACUUCACCGUGAUCUAGCAUUUCCAUAAUCUUCAAAGCCACACGCACUGCGGGUACAGACAGGUCUGCAGGGCACGGCCCUCGCAGCCAGCCGCUGGGAGUUUGUGACAGCAAAGCUCUGUCUGGUUUCCUAUCAGCCUCGUGGUCACCCAGAUGCCAGCAUUUGGACUCCCAAGCUGCAGACAUCACUUCCUACAAUAGCCUCACAGUCAAAAGGGACAGGUUCCACCCAGAAUUGUGGUGUAACUGGCAAGAAUGUCAGCCCUGACUGAGUCACACUGAGAUGGCACUUCCUGGAACACAGGAGACAGUGCCACAGUCCCUGCCCUCAAGGGGCUCACAGCUCGGUGGACAAGGCAGAAACGUCAACAGGCAGAUGCAGAAUGGGCCAGAAGCAAUCCUACCACAGGAGGGAGGGAAGGGCCUCGUGGAGGAGCUGACCCUGCAGCCGAACUGAAAGACUGAGGCUACGGAGGCCAUAAAGGAGGAAUAAAGGCAAGAAUACAUCCUGAAGCAAAGACACCUGGACAUGGGCACCUGGAGGCAGAGUUCAAGGCAAAUCUAAAGCAAAGCAGCCUCAGGCCUGACUCUAAGCCUUUUUCUGUACUGUUAGUAGACUCCUAGAGGCCAAUAGCAAUCUGUUCUUUCUCUGUCUCUUUCUGUGUGUGUGUGUCUCUCUCUCUCUGUCCUUCCCUGUCUCUCUGUCUUUCUCUUUCUCUUCUCUCGCUGUCUCUCUGUCUCUCUCCCUCUCUCAUGCACACAUGCACACACACACACACACACACACACCAUCCAGCACAAAGUCACAACCUGUACUCUCUUGCCAACCAAUACCUUCCUACCUCUCUGAUCCACUUUUCUGUGUUCUGUUUUCUUUUCUUUCUAUGCCUGGAUUUACUUCCUCCAGCUGAAGCAAGUAGUUGAGGAAUUUAGCAGCAAGAGAUUCACAGACCACGUGAAAGCAUUUGCUCUGAAGUCACUGAACAACCUCUCUCCGCAGUGCUAUUAAUUCUUAUAAACGAUUGUCUUUUUCUUUUCAUGUAAAGUGCUACUCAAAACUCUGAUCACCAUCUGAACCCCCCUCAAGAGUGCUGCUAGCUACAGAUGGGUGUCUCUAAUGAAUUUUUUAACUGCUGCCCUAAUAAAAUAUGGAUGAACCAGAAGGAGCCCUCUUUGUAGCUGUUAUUUCAAAACAACCAAACAACUUAAGUUCCUGCUCUUAGUCGUGCAGCAAAGAGUUGCAAGCUCUCACAUGCACCCUAGCAAAAGAUCGCUUUUUUUCAUGCUAGUCCAUCUGCAAAGUUCACAGUUACCUUUUUAAUGCCAUAUUUUAUGCAUGGGGCUUAUUUUCAUGGCUUUCUAAAUGCCCCAUUUUGUGUGCCAAAUUUGCGAUAUGUUUAUUAAAAAAUGAUCCCAAAUUGUCAGCACUUUGCACAUAAGUAGUGCCCUGGAGACUGGAGCGUCUUUCAAGGAAGUCCCUACUUGGCACUAAAUUUUUAUAAUACUCAGAAUUUAAGCCCACAUCAAAGGUUUGUGCCACUCUAAAUGCCUGACCUUAAAAAUGGUACAAUUAUAGCAUUGCAAAUGUACUGCUCAAUGGCC